UACAGAGGGUGCGAGCGUUAAUCGGAAUUACUGGGCGUAAAGCGCGCGUAGGCGGCUUUGCAAGUCGGGUGUGAAAUCCCCAGGCUUAACCUGGGAACUGCAUUCGAGACUGCAUUGCUAGAGUAUGGGAGAGGGAAGUGGAAUUUCCGGUGUAGCGGUGAAAUGCGUAGAUAUCGGAAGGAACAUCAGUGGCGAAGGCGGCAUCCUGGACCAACACUGACGCUGAGGAGCGAAAGCCAGGGGAGCAAACGGG
rnacentral:rRNA from 1 species